CCUACGGGAGGCAGCAGUGAGGAAUAUUGGUCAAUGGACGAGAGUCUGAACCAGCCAAGUAGCGUGAAGGAUGACUGCCCUAUGGGUUGUAAACUUCUUUUAUAUGGGAAUAAAAUGUUCCACGUGUGGGAUUUUGUAUGUACCAUAUGAAUAAGGAUCGGCUAACUCCGUGCCAGCAGCCGCGGUAAUACGGAGGAUCCGAGCGUUAUCCGGAUUUAUUGGGUUUAAAGGGAGCGUAGGUGGAUUGUUAAGUCAGUUGUGAAAGUUUGCGGCUCAACCGUAAAAUUGCAGUUGAAACUGGCAGUCUUGAGUACAGUAGAGGUGGGCGGAAUGCGUGGUGUAGCGGUGAAAUGCUUAGAUAUCACGAAGAACUCCGAUUGCGAAGGCAGUUCACUGGACUGCAACUGACGCUGAGGCUCGAAAGUGUGGGUAUCAAACAGGAUUAGAUACCCUUGUAGUC
rnacentral:rRNA from 1 species